UACAGAGGUCCCAAGCGUUGUUCGGAAUUAUUGGGCGUAAAGGGUGCGUAGGCGGUCGGAUAAGUUAGAUGUGAAAUGUCGGCGCUUAACGUCGAACCUGCAUUUAAGACUGUCCUGCUUGAGCGCUAGAGAGGAGUCUGGAAUUUACGGUGUAGCAGUGAAAUGCGUAGAUAUCGUAAGGAAGGCCAGUGGCGAAAGCGAGACUCUGGCUAGAUGCUGACGCUGAGGCACGAAAGCUGGGGGAGCAAACGGG
rnacentral:rRNA from 1 species